GGUUAAGUGAAUAAGGGCGCACGGUGGAUGCCUUGGCACUAGGAGCCGAUGAAGGACGGGACUAACACCGAUAUGCUUUGGGGAGCUGUACGUAAGCUAUGAUCCAGAGAUUUCCGAAUGGGGGAACCCAACAUCUUUAAUAGGAUGUUACGAUUGUGUGAAUACAUAGCACAUUCGAGGUAGACGCAGAGAACUGAAACAUCUAAGUACCUGCAGGAAGAGAAAGAAAAUUCGAUUCCCUGAGUAGCGGCGAGCGAAACGGGAAAAGCCCAAACCAGCAAGCUUGCUUGUUGGGGUUGUAGGACUCCAAUAUGGUAGUUCUUUCAGAUAGUCGAAUGACUUGGAAAAGUCAGUCAAAGAGGGUAAAAACCCCGUAGACGAAAUGUGGAAGACACCUAGGAGGAUCCUGAGUACGGCGGAACACGAGAAAUUCCGUCGGAAUCCGGGAGGACCAUCUCCCAAGGCUAAAUACUCCCUAGUGACCGAUAGUGAACCAGUACCGUGAGGGAAAGGUGAAAAGCACCCCGGAAGGGGAGUGAAAUAGAACCUGAAACCGUGUGCCUACAACAAGUCAAAGCCCGUUAAUGGGUGAUGGCGUGCCUUUUGUAGAAUGAACCGGCGAGUUACGAUUGCAUGCGAGGUUAAGUUGAAGAGACGGAGCCGCAGCGAAAGCGAGUCUGAAUAGGGCGUUUGAGUAUGUAGUCGUAGACCCGAAACCAUGUGAUCUACCCAUGUCCAGGUUGAAGGUGCGGUAAAACGCACUGGAGGACCGAACCCACGUACGUUGAAAAGUGCGGGGAUGAGGUGUGGGUAGCGGAGAAAUUCCAAACGAACUUGGAGAUAGCUGGUUCUCUCCGAAAUAGCUUUAGGGCUAGCCUCGGAAUUGAGAAUGAUGGAGGUAGAGCACUGUUUGGACUAGGGGCCCAUCUCGGGUUACCGAAUUCAGAUAAACUCCGAAUGCCAUUCAUUCAUAUCCGGGAGUCAGACUGUGAGUGAUAAGAUCCAUAGUCGAAAGGGAAACAGCCCAGACCACCAGCUAAGGUCCCAAAAUAUAUGUUAAGUGGAAAAGGAUGUGGGGUUGCACAGACAACUAGGAUGUUGGCUUAGAAGCAGCCACCAUUUAAAGAGUGCGUAAUAGCUCACUAGUCGAGUGACCCUGCGCCGAAAAUGUACCGGGGCUAAACAUAUUACCGAAGCUGUGGAGUACACCUUUAGGUGUAUUGGUAGGAGAGCGUUCUAAGGGCGUUGAAGGCAGAUCGUGAGGACUGCUGGAGCGCUUAGAAGUGAGAAUGCCGGUAUGAGUAGCGAAAGACAGGUGAGAAUCCUGUCCACCGAAUGACUAAGGUUUCCUGGGGAAGGCUCGUCCGCCCAGGGUUAGUCGGGACCUAAGCCGAGGCCGACAGGCGUAGGCGAUGGAUAACAGGUUGAUAUUCCUGUACCCGUUGUUUUUGUUUGAGCAAUGGAGGGACGCAGGAGGCUAAGGAAUGCAGACGAUCGGAAAUGUCUGUCCAAGCAGUAAGUCUGAAGAGGAGUCAAAUGCUUCUUUUCUUAAGGACAAGCUGUGAUGGGGAGGGAAAUAAUAGUACCGAAGUUCCUGAUGUCACACUGCCGAGAAAAGCUUCUAGUGAGAAAACAGCGGCCCGUACCGCAAACCGACACAGGUAGUCGAGGAGAGAAUCCUAAGGUGAGCGAGAGAACUCUCGUUAAGGAACUCGGCAAAAUGACCCCGUAACUUCGGGAGAAGGGGUGCUGAUCAUACGAUCAGCCGCAGUGAAUAGGCCCAAGCGACUGUUUAUCAAAAACACAGGUCUCUGCAAAAUCGUAAGAUGAAGUAUAGGGGCUGACGCCUGCCCGGUGCUGGAAGGUUAAGAGGAGUGCUUAGCGCAAGCGAAGGUACGAAUUGAAGCCCCAGUAAACGGCGGCCGUAACUAUAACGGUCCUAAGGUAGCGAAAUUCCUUGUCGGGUAAGUUCCGACCCGCACGAAAGGCGUAACGAUUUGGGCACUGUCUCAACGAGAGACUCGGUGAAAUUUUAGUACCUGUGAAGAUGCAGGUUACCCGCGACAGGACGGAAAGACCCCAUGGAGCUUUACUGUAGUUUGAUAUUGAGUGUCUGUACCGCAUGUACAGGAUAGGUAGGAGCCGUAGAAAUCGGAACGCUAGUUUCGAUGGAGGCGCUGGUGGGAUACUACCCCUGCGUUAUGGCCACUCUAACCCGCACCACUAAUCGUGGUGGGAGACAGUGUCAGAUGGGCAGUUUGACUGGGGCGG
rnacentral:rRNA from 1 species